rnacentral:rRNA from 1 species
GCAUAUCAAUAAGCGGAGGAAAAGAAACCAACAGGGAUUGCCCUAGUAACGGCGAGUGAAGCGGCAACAGCUCAAAUUUGAAAUCUGGCUCUCGGGCCCGAGUUGUAAUUUGUAGAGGAUACUUUUGAUGCGGUGCCUUCCGAGUUCCCUGGAACGGGACGCCAUAGAGGGUGAGAGCCCCGUCUGGUUGGAUGCCAAAUCUCUGUAAAGUUCCUUCAACGAGUCGAGUAGUUUGGGAAUGCUGCUCUAAAUGGGAGGUAUAUGUCUUCUAAAGCUAAAUACCGGCCAGAGACCGAUAGCGCACAAGUAGAGUGAUCGAAAGAUGAAAAGCACUUUGAAAAGAGAGUUAAAAAGUACGUGAAAUUGUUGAAAGGGAAGCGUUUAUGACCAGACUUGGGCUUGGUUAAUCAUCUGGGGUUCUCCCCAGUGCACUUUUCCAGUCCAGGCCAGCAUCAGUUUUCCCCGGGGGAUAAAGGCGGCGGGAAUGUGGCUCUCUUCGGGGAGUGUUAUAGCCCGUCGUGUAAUACCCUGGGGGGGACUGAGGUUCGCGCAUCUGCAAGGAUGCUGGCGUAAUGGUCAUCAACGACCCGUCUUGAAACACGGACCAAGGAGUCGUCUUCGUAUGCGAGUGUUCGGGUGUCAAACCCCUACGCGUAAUGAAAGUGAACGCAGGUGAGAGCUUCGGCGCAUCAUCGACCGAUCCUGAUGUUCUCGGAUGGAUUUGAGUAAGAGCAUACGGGGCCGGACCCGAAAGAAGGUGAACUAUGCCUGUAUAGGGUGAAGCCAGAGGAAACUCUGGUGGAGGCUCGCAGCGGUUCUGACGUGCAAAUCGAUCGUCAAAUAUGGGCAUGGGGGGCGAAAGACUAAUCGAACCUUCUAGUAGCUGGUU